rnacentral:lncRNA from 1 species
GGACUAGCCACUGGUUUCAAUCGCACUGUGGAAGGGAUGCUGCCCAGGAGACUCCUCAGGACUGGGAACAGUCCCCCCACCACCGUUCAAAUCCCAGAACCCCCCUUCACCUCCCGAGCCCCAGGGCUUCUCACCAGCAGAACAGGGGAGUGAUGUGUGCACUUCCUCCACCCACAGGGUCCUGCCGUCUGCACCCAGGAAGGGAGGGAGGCCACGGAGAUGAACAGCCUAAGAAUCACUUUGUGAUCAGAGAUUAAAAUCCAGUCCCCGUGACUGCCACCCAUGCUCUCCCGAUUGUACCCUAAAGGUGGCCCACCAUGUGCCGGGUGGCAGCCCUCUUCACACCUGUUGCCCCUGAGCCAAAGCCCACGUCCCCUGGUCCAGCAUCUGACUCUCACAGGGAGGAGCAACUAGCCCCCAGGAUCCAGAGGUAACUGGGAAGACUGAGAACAGCUCCCUGUGGCAUCAGCAGCACCCAACCAGGGACAGAACACCUACCUCCAGGACCGCGUGACCUUGAGCCUGUCCCGCCUCCCACCCAGCUCGGCGCCCACUCCUCUUCACAGCCCACCUCCGCAUUCCGCCCACUGUACUUGAGCCUCAGGGAGGCCCCGGGCUUCCCAGCUCAGGGAAGGGCUUCUGCCCUCUCACCACCUGGUGGUUUAAAGCCAGGUCCAGGAAGCACACAUCUUCCUCCGCGCAGGCUGCCGACCCCACACCUGGGACAGGGUGCGCAAGCCACGGACACUCACGGCCCUGGACCUGGGCGUCACCAUCAGGGUGCCACCUUGGGAGGGCUGCUCUGCUUCCUGGGGCAUCCCGUGGCUGUGACCUCACGUGGGAGAAGGGGGAGGCAGACCUGGGAUGUCGUGGGGCACUGACCCCUCUGCAUGAACUGACCCAUCACCAGCUGGGAACUAGCCUUCAAUGCCUGAAUCUAGGGGACACAGCACUGAGGAAGCAGCAGGUGGCGUGACGGGGCUCACUCCCCACAUGUCCAGCUGUGAUCCCCUGGCCUGUGUGUCUGUCACCACAGUCACAGCAUGAAGCCCAAGCCCGUGGUCAUUACCAUCACCUGGACUCGGCCCCUCACUCAGAUGUACCCUGGUCCCAAGCCAACACACACUGUCUUGAGAAGCCCCCUGCUGUCCCUCAGGGAGUGGACGUCACACCUGAGUUCCUGUGUCCUGGCCUCCACCUGCUGCUCCAAACUGAGGACCUCCCAGGGACCCGACUCCUCUUCAGGCACCUGCUGUGCCUUGGGGUGGUGCUUCUGGUGCCCUCCCUGCCCUUCACAGCACCACCCGUGUGGCUCGUGGCCCACAGACUCUCCACAUGCCACCCCCACCUCCUGCCACUCACCAGCCUCAAGGUCACCCCACCCCAUCUCAGCAUGCGUCACCACCGUCACUGCCACUGCUCCUGCCCUCUCCGGGGUCCACGGUCACUGCAUCCUCCUUCUCAGACCAUCUCCUCCAGUGGUGGUCUCCACCUUAGGGGCCCUCACUGCAAGGCCAGUCCACAGCCAAGUCCACCCAAUGCCCCUGUUGUCACCAGCAACCAUGGAGUCUCCAGCCUCUUUUGAUCAGCCUCACCUGCCCUCUGACCCUCCGUCCGUGCCUGGGACUUGGUGAGAAGCCUGUGAGCUCACAUCUGGGGGCACCGGCACGUCCCCAGGCCACAGUGGGUGGAUGAACCUGGUCGCACUGGCCUCUCCAUGCUGCCCUUGUGAGUUGGAGAGAGGUGGUGGGUCUGCUCCUGGACAGCCUGGUGGCCCUCGGGUGGAGGGGGCCUACUCGUGCCCACCCAGGUGCCCACCCAGGUACCCUGCAGGGCCUCCAGUCCACCCUGCCAUCGCUGCCUCCUCCUCCUCACCGGUGGCCUUUUCCACUGCGCAG